CAAACGGCUCUUUUAAGAGCCACACACACGUUCUCAUUGAGCAAA
rfam:Gasterosteus aculeatus cont1.013728, whole genome shotgun sequence.